rnacentral:tRNA from 1 species
GAGGGUAUAGCUCAGUAGUAGAGCGCAUGCUUAGCAUGCCCAAGGUUCUGGGUUCAAUCCCCAGUACCUCCC